rnacentral:lncRNA from 1 species
GUGUCCUUUCUUCUAGGGAGAGAGGUGUUAGGGCAAGGGACAAAGAGGCCCUGGUGUCCCAUAUGACAGUGGUGUCAAGAUGCCCUGUCCUUCCCCUCAGCCUGCUGGGUCUGCUCAGGCUUCCCCAGGCAGGCAGCUCCCCUGCCAGGACAGGGCUCUUCCUCCUGGUCCUCUCCCCUUGUUUCCUCAUCUUUCUUGUCAGCUUCAGGCCUCCACCCUCAGAUGUCUCUGCUCCCCAAGAACUCUCCCUGCACCUCGCAGGAGCAAGAAGACUCAGGGCCCAAAUCCAACCUGUGUGUGAGCCAUUCCCAGGGAAGUGACGUCCCAUGGCCCCCUACCAAGAGUCGCCUCCAGCAUGACACACUCAAGCCGGGACAGCAGAGCGAAUUCCCAGAACCAGCUCUGGGCGUGAUGAUUCAGCCUUUGGAGGGGUCGGUGGUGCAAGACAGCUUCCUUCAUCCUCACUGCCACCAGGACCAGGCUGGGCCAGCGGGCAGGCAGGCAAAGUCUGGCUGCCGGGGGCUGCUCUGAGCCGGGGGGACAGAAGGAGACAGUCCCCCGACUCGAGGUCUCCGAGGGAAACAAUGAGAGCCCAG